UAGGGAAUCUUCCGCAAUGGACGCAAGUCUGACGGAGCAACGCCGCGUGAGUGAAGAAGGUUUUCGGAUCGUAAAGCUCUGUUGUUAAGGAAGAACGAGUGUGAGAAUGGAAAGUUCAUGCUGUGACGGUACUUAACCAGAAAGGGACGGCUAAUUACGUGCCAGCAGCCGCGGUAAUACGUAAGGUCCGAGCGUUGUCCGGAAUCAUUGGGCGUAAAGGGUACGUAGGCGGGUAAGCAAGUUAGAAGUGAAAUCCUGUAGCUCAACUACAGUAAGCUUUUAAAACUGCUCAUCUUGAGAUAUGGAAGGGAAAGUGGAAUUCCUAGUGUAGCGGUGAAAUGCGCAGAUAUUAGGAGGAAUACCGGUGGCGAAGGCGACUUUCUGGCCAUAAUCUGACGCUGAGGUACGAAAGCGUGGGUAGCAAACAGG
rnacentral:rRNA from 1 species